CUGGCGGCGUGCCUAACACAUGCAAGUCGAGCGAGGAGAUUCCUUCGGGAUGAUCCUAGCGGCGGACGGGUGAGUAACACGUGGGCAACCUGCCUCAUAGAGAGGAAUAGCCUUCCGAAAGGGAGAUUAAUACCUCAUAACAUUGCAGUUUCGCAUGGAACAGCAAUUAAAGGAGCAAUCCGCUAUGAGACGGGCCCGCGGCGCAUUAGCUAGUUGGUGAGGUAACGGCUCACCAAGGCGACGAUGCGUAGCCGACCUGAGAGGGUGAUCGGCCACAUUGGGACUGAGACACGGCCCAGACUCCUACGGGAGGCAGCAGUGGGGAAUAUUGCACAAUGGGGGAAACCCUGAUGCCAGCAACGCCGCGUGAGUGAUGACGGCCUUCGGGUUGUAAAGCUCUGUCUUCAGGGACGAUAAUGACGGUACCUGAGGAGGAAGCCACGGCUAACUACGUGCCAGCCGCCGC
rnacentral:rRNA from 1 species